rnacentral:lncRNA from 1 species
ACCCUACUCUAAUAAGGCUUUUGAUAUCUCGAGCUCAUAGGUGGGAGAUAAAAUAUACAUACUUACAAGACAUUUAUUGUGUAGUCAAACCAUGGAUCCAAAGAAACAAGUAAAUAAGUCAAAUCUAAAUGUGCAUGUGUGGCGAAUGGAUGGUGUAUGGUGAUGAUGGUGAUAACAAUGGUGAAAGUCGAAUUCUACUUAUGCUCUUUUGAGGGGAUACAUACCUUUCUUGCUCUUUGAAACUUUUUGAGGAGAAUGAGGUGCUCUAUAUUUUCUUUUUCUUUCCUCUCAGGUGGGUAUUUUGUACCCCUAAUUCUACUGUCGGACACUUGUCCAUUUUUACCUCUCAGCUCACUUUUUCUUUUCUUCGAGGUUCCGGGCACUUGCCCCUUUUUAUUUCCUCGUAUCUUUCUUUUUUUUAAAGAGCACUCAUCUCUUGAAAUAAUGUAGCAAGUGGUAGUAACCAAGAUAACUUGAGCACUUAUUUCACAGGGGAAAAACAUAUAUAUUUUUGGCUAUUCUCUCCCGGAUUAGGAGUAGAAUAUUUUUGGGUGGAUCUGGAGAUGGAAAUGAGUGGAUAUAUGUGGAUGGUACUUCCAGAGUAGAAGCAGCAUGUAUGAGUGAACGUGUAAGUGAAUCUUGAUUUAACCACAUGACAAGCUCCUAAGGGUCUACACAGCUUGACCACACUCAAUGCUCAUAAGUAGUAAAAAGUGAAUAUGUGGCUCAAAGUCUAGCAAGCAUGUAUAUAUGGCUGUGGUAGAAAUUUAAAAUCUCAUCAUACAGGAACUCAUCAUGCAAUAUUUUAAAGAUUUUAAAAUAUAAAAUUCUCCAGAAUUCUAGCAUCUCUAGGAACAGAUAAACAGCAGCUCAACCUUCCCAUAUCGUAUCCGUUAACAACUUAGACUUUAGAUCAAGUUUUCUUCCCACAAGUUUAGGUUUAGAGCAAGCUUUAAAUUAUAACAGUUAUGUCUAAACUUGAGAGAGAACUUUAAAUUGAAAAUUAGGCAGAUCAACUAUUCAUCAUAUCCACGCUAGAGUUUUAUUAUCAAGAUUCAGUUUAGCAAAGCCACUUUAUUUAUUUAUUAAACACACUAAGCAAAAGAUAUACAUAUAUAUAACAUAAAAUCUUUAUUUGGUUUUUCAUAGUUAUGUAUAGUUAUAUUUUAAUAUACUAUAAGUAUAAAGAUAGAUAGAAAUACUUAGCGGGAUAAAUGGGGUGCUCUCCCCCAAGCUGAAUUUUGACGUAAUUUCUCUUGAUGUAGCUAGCAGGUGGCAGAGGUGUAUUUGAAAGUCGGCAGUAUCUUGACAGCGAUUAGAAUGUCCUCCGUCUGCUAGACUUCUUGAUUCUUAAAUUCUGUGGAGCUCAAAUAGACAACAAAGCUUUGUGGAACUGAUUAAGUGUUAGCAUAAAUAUCUAGCCUUUAUCAUGUUGAGCUUCCUCCAUAAAUGUUACUCUCUAUUUUUUAUAUUUUCAUUUUAUAGAGCAGAAAAGAAAUAUCUAUUUUAUUUUUAUGCCACCACAGUGAAUGUACUUAUGGGUUUCAUGCCACUCAUAUACUCACAUGGGGCUUACUAUUUUUUAACAUUUUUAUUUUCUUUUUAGGAUAGUAUGAACAUGAUUAACUAAGUAAACUAUUUUAAAUAUUUGAAAGGGAAAGGAUAACUACCAAGUUUACCUCUUGGCAAGGCGUUCGGUAUUUUUUAAGUCCUCCGAACGGGACUCUCCGUUUUCUAGUUGUCCUGGGAUUCGUUGGGUGGCGUAGUCGGUACUUCCGGUAGCGCCUCCUCUUCAUGUAUAGUUAUCUUCUCUUUUCACACCUGACUCGGUGCUACGGUCUCCUCUGGAUAAUUCUGUUUAAACUGUAUGUCUUCUGACCUUAUCACUUCUCCUUUAUAGUCUACCCAUCCAUCCUUGAUAAUUUGCCUCCUCUGGUUGCGGUUGCGUCAUUUUCUGACCUACUUAGAGUCUUCAACGGUAUAGUUAGGGUCAGUAAAAUAGUGGCGUACCUUUUCUGAGGGGAAGUACAUAUGGACUUCUCCAGUUCCAAUGUAGAUGAUUACUUUGACGGUGCUGAGGAACAGUCUUCCAAGGAUGACGGGUGGAUCAUACUCAUCUUCUCCCAUGUCAAUAACAUGAAAGUCUAUGUAGACAAAAUGAUCGUCUAUUUUGACAGGGACAUCAGUUACUAUACCUUUAACCUCUCGGAAUGUCUGAUCUGCCAUCUAGAGCUGAAUGUAUGUUGGUUUUAAGGGCAUGGUUCCAAACACGAGCCGAUAGGUGACUGCGGCCAUUAUGUUGACGCCCGAUCCGGUGUCACAAGUCGUCUUCUAGAAGUUGUAUCCAUUUAUGGAGCAAUAGAUACUUGGCAUUCCUAGGUCGUCCUUCUUGGUCAGAAACGGUGACUUAAGUUGGUGAUCUUGACCUCCAUGAACUGCAGUGACCAUCUUAGCUGACUUAGUCCACAUUUGCUUGUUCCUAUUCCUCCUGUUGGUCCUCUUCCUUGAUUUAUGUCGGGAUUGCUCUGGGAUUUGUGUAGUCUUGUUCUUGAAGGAAAAUGUCUCCUUCCUCCCCUUGAUGUAGAAACUGAUCUUGGCAGCACUAGCAUAGAUAACAGCUCCCGAGGUGUUUAAGAAUGGCCUCCCUAAUAUGAUGGGUGCCCUCUCAUCAUUACCAGUCUCUAUCAAUACGAAGUCUGCUGGGCGUACAAGGUACCAACUCGGACACAAAGGUUCUUCAAUAAUCCUUUUGGAAAACUUAUCGUCUGAUCUGCAAACUGCAAACACAUGGUUGUUUCUACUAAAGGAUAUGUAAAGAAUUUUUCAUAGAGUACCCUGGGCAUAAUGUUGACGCUAG